AAUCAACGCUGGCGGCGUGCCUCAGACAUGCAAGUCGAACGAUUAAGACUUCCUUCGGGAAGUGCAUAAAGUGGCGCACGGGUGAGUAACACGUAAGUAAUCUACCCUCGCGUGGGGAAUAACAGUCGGAAACGACUGCUAAUACCGCAUAAUGCAGCGGCACCGCAAGGUGACAGUUGUUAAAGGAGCAAUCCGCUUGAGGAGGAGCUUGCGGCAGAUUAGCUAGUUGGUAAGGUAACGGCUGACCAAGGCUACGAUCUGUAUCCGGUGUAGGAGGACGGUCGGACACAGUGACACGAAAAAGCGGGUCAGAGGCCUACGGGAGGAAGCAGUCGGGAAUUUUGGGCAAUGGGCGAAAGCCUGACCCAGCAACGCGGCGUGAAGGAUGAAGUAUUUCGGUAUGUAAACUUCGAAGGAAGAGGAAGAAUAAAUGAGGGUACUAUUUAUAAGCUCCGGCUAACUACGUGCCAGCAGCCGCCGUAAGAC
rnacentral:rRNA from 1 species